UACGUAGGGACCGAGCGUUGUCCGGAAUCAUUGGGCGUAAAGAGCGUGUAGGCGGCUCGCUAAGUCUUGCGUGAAAUCUCGGGGCUCAACCCCGAGCGGUCGUGAGAAACUGGCGGGCUAGAGUGCGGGAGAGGAGAGUGGAAUUCCUGGUGUAGCGGUGAAAUGCGUAGAUAUCAGGAGGAACACCGGUGGUGUAGACGGCUUUCUGGACCGUAACUGACGCUGAGACACGAAAGCGUGGGUAGCAAACAGG
rnacentral:rRNA from 1 species